rnacentral:rRNA from 1 species
AUUGAACGCUGGCGGCAUGCCUUACACAUGCAAGUCGAACGGUAACAGGCCGCAAGGUGCUGACGAGUGGCGAACGGGUGAGUAAUGCAUCGGAACGUGCCCAGUCGUGGGGGAUAACUGCUCGAAAGAGCAGCUAAUACCGCAUACGACCUGAGGGUGAAAGCGGGGGACCGUAAGGCCUCGCGCGAUUGGAGCGGCAGAUGUCAGAUUAGCUAGUUGGUGGGGUAAAGUCCUACCAAGGCGACGAUCUGGAGUCGGUCUGGGAGGACGAGCAGCCACACUGGGACUGAGACACGGCCCAGACGCCGACGGGAGGCAGCAGUGGGGAAUUUUGGACAAUGGGCACAAGCCUGUUCCAGCAAUGCCGCGUGCAGGAAGAAGGCUUUCGGGUUGUAAACUGCUUUUGUCAGGGAAGAAAUCUUCUGGGCUAAUACCCCGGGAGGAUGACGGUACCUGAAGAAUAAGCACCGGCUAACUACGUGCCAGCCGCCGCCGUAACAC